UACGUAGGGUGCGAGCGUUGUCCGGAAUUAUUGGGCGUAAAGAGCUCGUAGGCGGCUUGUCGCGUCGGAUGUGAAAGCCCGGGGCUUAACUCCGGGUCUGCAUUCGAUACGGGCAGGCUAGAGUUCGGUAGGGGAGAUCGGAAUUCCUGGUGUAGCGGUGAAAUGCGCAGAUAUCAGGAGGAACACCGGUGGCGAAGGCGGAUCGCUGGGCCGAUACUGACGCUGAUGCGCGAAAGCGUGGGGAGCGAACCGG
rnacentral:rRNA from 1 species